UACGUAGGUGGCAAGCGUUGUCCGGAUUUAUUGGGUUUAAAGGGUGCGUAGGCGGCUUUGUAAGUCAGUGGUGAAAUAUGGCAGCUCAACUGUCAGGGUGCCAUUGAUACUGCAGAGCUUGAGUACAGAUGAGGUAGGCGGAAUUGACGGUGUAGCGGUGAAAUGCGCAGAUAUCAGGAGGAACACCGGUGGCGAAGGCGGGUCUCUGGGCAACAACUGACGCUGAGGAGCGAAAGCGUGGGGAGCGAACCGG
rnacentral:rRNA from 1 species